AGUGAGUGGCGCAGUUGUUUUAGCGCACUCGAUUUAGGUUCGAGGGGUCGCGGGUUUGAAUCCCGCCUCACUCG
rnacentral:tRNA from 1 species